ensembl:snRNA U6 U6 spliceosomal RNA
GUGCUCAGUUUGGCAGCACAUACACUAAAAUUGGAAAAAUACAGAGAAGAUUAGCAUGACCCCUACCCAAGGAUGACAUGCAAAUUCAUGAAGAUUUCCACAUUUUU